GCGAGCGUAGUUCAACGGUAGAACGGUUAUUUAUACGCUUCUCACAGGUCUCACAUCCUAUAUUUAUGCAGGUUCGACUCCUGCCGCUCGCA
rnacentral:tRNA from 1 species